GGCGGAGGCAGCUUCAACCUCACCUCUCGCGAGGAGUUCGUCCUACUGUUUCUGAUUAGCCCUGAGGUCAGAGGUAACGUUCCCUGGUGCUGCGUCGGGAAUCGCCAACAGCUGACGCGCCUUUCAGUCGGAGGGAGGUUUUGCCUCUUCCGUGGGUGCCGAUAAUCUUGUGGCUCGUGGUGAAGUGAGCAAGACUAGUAUAGCCCCCGUCUUCAUAGCGCUUAUGUUCUACUGAGGGGAAGGCGGACAAUAAAAAAUAGAAAGAGAAUCGCACUGUGCGAAGAUGCCCGAAUACGUUAGAACGCUGGAAGGAUGAAUGAGGACGGAGGAGAGGUCACUGCCUAUUGUCUGAGAAGGGGGCCGUUGAAUCUGAGAACCAGAGGAAGGGAAAAACGUAGCGGUGUAAAGAAGGAAGGUGGGCAGGCUGGGGAGAGCGUUCCUGGCCUAGGGAGUGUGUGCUACGACCCUGAGGCAGGAAGGAGUUGUGUCUUUUCUGGAAGCUGAAUGGAGGCUGUGUGGUCGAGCCCAUGACCCAGGGAAGGAGGGCAUGAAGUGAGGUUGAAGAGCAGCAAGUUGUUGGUCUGGAUGUUCGCGCAGUGGGAAGCCGCUGAGCCAUUUUAGGCAGGGGAGAGAUGUGAUCUAAUACACAUUUUGAAAAAGUCAUUCUGGCUGUUAAAGGAAGAGUUUAUCAGCGACGGGCAACAGCGAAAGUGAGCCGACCAACUAAGGGGCUGUUUCAGGCAAGCAAGAGGUUGGCAGCUUUGGCCUAAGGUGGUGGCAGCAGAGAUACGUGUAAGGGGCAGAAGCACCAGGGCUUGCUGAUGGAUGGAAAUGAGAGUGAGGAGGAAAAGGAUCAAGAUAUCGGGGGUGAUUUGAGCGUGAGUUUCGGGCUGGAGCAGUUAAGAUAAAUGGACGGUGGUGCCUUUUACUGAGAUGCUGAUGGCCUUAAAAAAAAAAAAAA